CACGUAGGGGACAAGCGUUGUCCGGAUUUACUGGGCGUAAAGAGCGCGCAGGCGGUCGAUCAAGUCGAGUGUGAAAGCCCCCGGCUCAACUGGGGAGGGUCAUUCGAUACUGAUCGACUCGAAGGCAGGAGAGGGUAGUGGAAUUCCCGGUGUAGUGGUGAAAUGCGUAGAUAUCGGGAGGAACACCAGUGGCGAAGGCGACUACCUGGCCUGUUCUUGACGCUGAGGCGCGAAAGCUAGGGGAGCAAACGGG
rnacentral:rRNA from 1 species